rnacentral:rRNA from 1 species
CCUGCCCCGAAGUGGGGAAUAACUGCUACGAAAGAGUAGCUAAUACCCCAUAGUAUCCGGUUUAUCCGGAUUAAAGAUUUAUCGCUUCGGGAGGGGCCUGCGUCUGAUUAGCUUGUUGGUGGGGUAAAAAGCUCACCAAGGCGACGAUCAGUAAGCUGGUUCGAGAGGAUGACCAGCCACACUGGGACUGAGAUACGGCCCAGACUCCUACGGGAGGCAGCAGUGAGGAAUCUUCCACAAUGGACGAAAGUCUGAUGGAGCAAUACCGCGUGCAGGACGACGCUUUUCGGAGUGUAAACUGCUUUUGUCGUCGAAGAUUAUGACUGUAGACGAAGAAUAAGGACCGGCUAACUACGUG